rnacentral:rRNA from 1 species
AUUGAACGCUGGCGGCAGGCCUAACACAUGCAAGUCGAACGAGUGGCGGACGGGUGAGUAAUGUCUGGGAAACUGCCGGAUGGAGGGGGAUAACUACUGGAAACGGUAGCUAAUACCGCAUACCAUCAGAUGUGCCCAGAUGGGAUUAGCUAGUUGGUGGGGUAACGGCUCACCAAGGCGACGAUCCCUAGCUGGUCUGAGAGGAUGACCAGCCACACUGGACCUGGGUCACGGUCCAGACUCCUGCGGGAGGCAGCAUUGGUGAUGAUUGCACGAUGGGCGCAAGCCUGAUGCAGCCAUUCCGCGUGUAUGGAGAAGGCCUUCGUGUUUUAAAGUACUUUCAGCGGGGCGGCGUUACCCGCAGCAGAGGCACCGGCUAACUCCGUGCCAGCAGCCGCGGUAAUUC